rnacentral:rRNA from 1 species
UGGGGAAUUUUGCACAAUGGAGGAAACUCUGAUGCAGCGACGCCGCGUGAGUGAUGAAGAUCUUCGGAUUGUAAAACUCUGUCCUUAGUGAAGAUAAUGACAGUAACUAAGAAGCAAGCCCUGGCUAAAUACGUGCCAGCAGCCGCGGUAAUACGUAUGGGGCAAGCGUUGUCCGGAAUUAUUGGGCGUAAAGGGUACGUAGGCGGUUUAAUAAGUCCUAAUUAAAAGGCUAUGGCUCAACCAUAGUAUGGUUAGGAAACUGUUGAACUUGAGUAGAUGAGGGGAAAGUGGAAUUCCAUGUGUAGCGGUGAAAUGCGUAGAUAUAUGGAGGAACACCAAUGGAGAAGGCAACUUUCUGGAAUCAAACUGACGCUGAGGUACGAAGGCGUGGGGAGCAAACAGG